ensembl:lncRNA
GCUUCCCUCACGGCACUGGGGCUGCCCCUCAGGGCCCCGGGCACGGUGAUCGCCCUCAGGCGCCCCCUCUUGGCCCCGGCACGGCGAUCCCCCUCGGGCAUCCCUCGGGGCGAUCCCGCCCCGCCGCCCCCUCAGAGACACCCAUGUGUGCCCUCCUAGACAAUUCCCUGGAAAGGGGGACCCCCUGCCCCUCCACAGCCGCCCUUCUCCUCAGAGAUGGCCGUGUGUCCACCCUCAGAUAUUUCCCUGGAAACGGGCACCCCCUGCACCUCCGGAGCCCCCCUCGUCCCCUCAGGCCUCCCCCUCUUGCCCUCAGGACAAAGGGAUCCAGGUCAAUAAGAAGUCGGAUUUUGGAGAGAACACAGGACAGGCUACACAACCCCCUGAGAUUCCCUCCCGCCCCAAGGGGAUUUAGCAACCCCAAAAACCUCACACUGCUGCAGGUAGGCCAGAGGAAAACCUUAUGA